CUAGCCUUAAACGAAACAUAGUAUAACGGUGCUCUCGAUCUCUCUUCUCUCUCCCUUUGCUCUCGAUCUCCGACAACGCCGUUCUUCCCUCUCGGCUUCUCCUCUCUCCACCGGUUACGAUUUCUCUAGCUCCGUGAUUGGAGCUUGUGUUGAAGUAUUCCAUUGACGUUGGUGUGGGGGGUGAUUGACGCCGAUCGGGUCUUGUGUUCAACUAGUCGACGAUAUCAGAUUUUGGAUUGACGAAAGUCAUGGUUGAAGAGCCUCCAAGACAUGAUCAUUCAUUAGUUGAGACUUGAGUGCUAAAACAAGAAAGAAACAAUUAGGCUUUGAUUUUUUUCAUUUUUAUUUUUCCCCCUCUUUCAGUGUCAUCUUCUCUCACUGAACUCUUAUAGCUUACUAUUGGUGUCUGAGCCAAAUUAUUUUCGGAUUGCUCAGAUUAAUAAAAUUGAUAAUGGCGGCACAUGUUUGGUUGGUCUAAAUUUCAGCUGCAAAGACAGUGUAGUUGCUAAUCUGAGAGGUUUAGGUCAGAACGACGAGACGACACCGUAUGGAAGCAAAUAUUAUUUAUUGCAGAGAAGCUGAAACUGAAUCCAUGAGAGAGAGAAAGAGAAAGAACGGGGAUGAGGAGAUCUGGCAGAGAAGAAGGAGGGGGCCCCACUCUGAGAACCUAAUCCAAAUUUUGAACCCAACACUCCUUAAUUAUAAUUAUGGGCAAGGAUGGUUCAUUUAUGAUUGUUGUGGUCCAAUUGAGCCCAAAUCAUCAUUUAAUAUUGGUGAUUAGUGAAGAGUUUAAAUGGAAGACUAGUAUUCUUUCAACUGAUGAUGAUGAUGGUGAUGCUUGAUUUCUCCAAAAGGGAACAGAAGCCUCCCAUUAUUAUGAUUAUCAUUAUUCUCUACUUGCCCACCAUUACUUCCAAGCCCAUCAACCAAAGAAAAUCCAAGACUGGGCUUAAUCUCUUGCAUGGGAAAUUCAAAAAUGAAGAAUUUGUCAUUUGAAUUUGGCAUCAAUGAAGAAUCCCUUUUUUCUGUGCCCUGCAUGGAGAAAAUCUAAAGGAUCAAAAUUAAACCAGAAAUCAAUAAGGAUUGGAUCAGGAGAGUGAGAUUCCAUCACCAAAAGAGUUAGGAAGUAGGUCUUCUGGAGCAAGCAACAAGGAAGCAUGACCAUGCUUAAUAUGUUAAGACGUAUAUUAAGAAUUAUAUGUUAAGACGUAUUAUUAAAAAAUGUUACUUUGAUACUUUAUUUUUGGAUUAUGACAUUUCAAUUAUGACUUGGAUUAUGACUUUUGGAUUAUGUAUGAAUUAAAAAUCAUCUUAUGAUAUUUGAUUUAUGAUUA